GUGUUCCACGCGAGAGCAAACUGUGGCCCCCAAACCACUGCCUGACCACUAUGCACAGGCUACUGGCACUAAAGGGGGUUACACAAAA
rnacentral:snoRNA from 1 species